rnacentral:rRNA from 1 species
AGUGAACGCUGGCGGUAGGCCUAACACAUGCAAGUCGAGCGGCAGCACAGUAAGAGCUUGCUCUUACGGGUGGCGAGUGGCGGACGGGUGAGGAAUACAUCGGAAUCUACUUUUUCGUGGGGGAUAACGUAGGGAAACUUACGCUAAUACCGCAUACGACCUACGGUUGAAAGCAGGGGAUCUUCGGACCUUGCGCGACUGAAUGAGCCGAUGUCGGAUUAGCUAGUUGGCGGGGUAAAGGCCCACCAAGGCGACGAUCCGUAGCUGGUCUGAGAGGAUGAUCAGCCACACUGGAACUGAGACACGGUCCAGACUCCUACGGGAGGCAGCAGUGGGGAAUAUUGGACAAUGGGCGAAAGCCUGAUCCAGCCAUACCGCGUGGGUGAAGAAGGCCUUCGGGUUGUAAAGCCCUUUUGUUGGGAAAGAAAAGCAGCAGAUUAAUACCUCCCUGUUCUGACGGUACCCAAAGAAUAAGCAACGGCUAACUUCGUG